UACGUAAGGUCCGAGCGUUGUCCGGAAUCAUUGGGCGUAAAGGGUACGUAGGCGGCCAAACAAGUUAGAAGUGAAAUCCUAUAGCUCAACUAUAGUAAGCUUUUAAAACUAUUUGGCUUGAGAUAUGGAAGGGAAAGUGGAAUUCCUAGUGUAGCGGUGAAAUGCGCAGAUAUUAGGAGGAAUACCGGUGGCGAAGGCGACUUUCUGGCCAUGAUCUGACGCUGAGGUACGAAAGCGUGGGGAGCGAAUGGG
rnacentral:rRNA from 1 species